AGCAGCCGCGGUAAUUCCAGCUCCAAUAGCGUAUAUUAAAGUUGUUGCAGUUAAAAAGCUCGUAGUUGAAUUUCGGGAUCAAUAUAUCGGUCGUGCCUUGGUACGUACUGGUAUCAUUGGUUUCUCCUUUCUGACGAACCAUGAUGUCAUUAAUUUGGUGUUAUGGGAAGUUAGGACUGUUACUUUGAAAAAAUUAGAGUGUUUAAAGCAGGCUUUAGCUUGAAUACAUUAGCAUGGAAUAAUGAAAUAGGACGUUCGAACCUAUUUUGUUGGUUUCUAGGAUCAACGUAAUGAUUAAUAGGGAUAGUUGGGGGCAUUAGUAUUCAAUUGUCAGAGGUGAAAUUCUUGGAUUAUUGGAAGACUAACUACUGCGAAAGCAUUUGCCAAGGAUGUUUUCAUUAAUCAAGAACGAAAGUUAGGGGAUCGAAGACGAUCAGAUACCGUCGUAGUCUUAACCAUAAACUAUGCCGACUAGGGAUCGGAUGAUGUUAAUUUUUUAAUGACUCAUUCGGCGCCUUAC
rnacentral:rRNA from 1 species